AACGAACGCAGGCGGCAUGCCUAACACAUGCAAGUCGAACGAGAUCUUCGGGUCUAGUGGCGCACGGGUGCGUAACGCGUGGGAAUCUGCCCUUUGGUUCGGAAUAACAGUUGGAAACGACUGCUAAUACCGGAUGAUGACGAAAGUCCAAAGAUUUAUCGCCAGAGGAUGAGCCCGCGUAGGAUUAGCUAGUUGGUGUGGUAAAGGCGCACCAAGGCGACGAUCCUUAGCUGGUUUGAGAGGAUGAUCAGCCACACUGGGACUGAGACACGGCCCAGACUCCUACGGGAGGCAGCAGUGGGGAAUAUUGGACAAUGGGCGAAAGCCUGAUCCAGCAAUGCCGCGUGAGUGAUGGAGGCCUUAGGGUUGUAAAGCUCUUUUACCCGGGAUGAUAAUGACAGUACCGGGAGAAUAUGCUCCGGCUAACUCCGUGCCAGCCGCCGCAGUAA
rnacentral:rRNA from 1 species